rnacentral:lncRNA from 1 species
UCCCCUUAGCAUCUACCGGACAAAUCACGUCAAGAGUUGCUCAUCAGGGUGUUGCACCAAAACCUUAAACUAAUUACACUUCAUUGGGAACAAAUCAAUCAAGAAAACAAGGACAACAAACCACACAGACACAAACCAGAAUCGCCAGUGAACUACCAUCAAUCAUGUGAUGUACUUUAAAACAGGCAAGAAAACAAGAGAAGGGGACCAUUCGCCCCAACACAAUAAAGCCCAAGAACACAACAAGAAGACAGCCACAGGAUUUACAACUACCAACAAACACCCCCCCCCCCCACACUUAAAAUCUGGCACUGUCCUCAGUGCAAACAAAAAGAGGGGUGAAAGAGGAAAUUUCCCUAAAUACCGAUCCAGUGGUGAGUCUGUAGUAUCCCACGAUGUCUGCCCAACUCGCAUCCCUAGAACAGGCAGUCUCCAACGCAACAACCUGCACCAAACAACAGAAACAAAAGAACUGAAACACAAGCAAAAACGAAAGAUAAACAAAAACAAGAAAAAGUAAGAAACAUGGGUUGCCUCCCAUGCAGCGCUAGUUUUAAAGUCGCCAGCCCGACUAGGAGAACCGCUUAACCAAAAUCCGAUUGAAGCUCUAGCUGCCUUAGCGCCCUUGUAAACAUAAGUUCUUGAAUUGCAGCUGCGGGUCCUCCAAAUGAGCGUUCCAUGCUCAUAUCAUGAGAUGGUCCUCUAUCCACCCAUCCCAGGAGAUCGAGUGACACAACCUCAUCAAGCUUCUCUUCCAGUAGCAAGGCAGACAUGAAGCCUUGCUCUAUGUCAUCUUCCUCGUGCAGCUUAUCCAGAGAUUCCUGCUCAAUGUCAGCCUCAUCCUGCAAGUUGGCAAGGAAUACCUCCUCAAUCUCGUCCUCCUCCUGUAACUUAUUAAGGAAUUCCUGCACAAUACAAUCCUCAUCCAAAGCAUCAAAUGUUUCAACAUAAGAGCAGAUUUGAAUUAAGGAAGUGGGGGUAGUAGGUUUUUUUAUCAAAAACAGAGAAUGUUACCGCUCUACCCGCCCCUACCAUACUUACAGUUCCCGUACCCACAUCGAUGCGAGUACGGGUGGUAGCCAUAAAGGGUCGGCCAAGUAGCACGAGAUGCCCAUUCUCGCCUCUAAUCCCUUUUCCCACAUCCAGGACAACAAAAUCAGCCAAGACUCUAAUCCCCCUCA